GAUAAACGCUGGCGGCGUGCAUAACACAUGCAAGUCGAACGAUGAAGAUUGAUAGAUUUCUUCGGAAUGACAUUAAUUGGAUUAGUGGCGGACGGGUGAGUAACGCGUGAGUAACCUGCCUUACACAAGGGGAUAGCCGUUGGAAACGACGAAUAAUACCCUAUGAUAUGAUAGCCUUGCAUGAAGCUAUCAUCAAAGAUUUAUCGGUGUAAGAUGGACUCGCGUCUGAUUAGCUAGUUGGUGGGGUAAAAGCCUACCAAGGCAACGAUCAGUAGCCGGCUUGAGAGAGUGUACGGCCACAUUGGGACUGAGACACGGCCCAGACUCCUACGGGAGGCAGCAGUGGGGAAUUUUGCACAAUGGGGGCAACCCUGAUGCAGCGACGCCGCGUGAUUUAGAAGGCCUUCGGGUUGUAAAAAUCUUUUGUAUGGGAAGAAAAUGACAGUACCAUACGAAUAAGGACCGGCUAAUUACGUGCCAGCCGCCGCAGUAACAC
rnacentral:rRNA from 1 species